ACGCUCGACACCUACGAGAGGCAGCAGUGGGGAAUAUUGCACAAUGGGGGAAACCCUGAUGCAGCGACGCCGCGUGAAGGAAGAAGCAUUUCGGUAUGUAAACUUCUAUCAGCAGGGAAGAAAAUGACGGUACCUGACUAAGAAGCCCCGGCUAACUACGUGCCAGCAGCCGCGGUAAUCUGAGCGGGCUGGCAAGGC
rnacentral:rRNA from 1 species